GUCAGCAGCUAUGCCACUUGCAGUUAAAACUAAGGAAUCCAUAUGGGAGACCAACUGGGAAAGCUGGGUUGCUGCUGGAA
rnacentral:rRNA from 1 species